rnacentral:sRNA from 1 species
GCCUGCUUAGGUUUAGAUCGGUAAUGUCGAACCGCUUUUCAUCCAAUCAUCCAUCUCUUCACUUGUCAUUGCUCCGAUCUUUUCGAUUUCUGAACCCUCCGAGUAAUGGGUUUCUUGACUGUGGGUUUCUGGAGCCUUCGUUAUAUUUGUUGGUGCUUCAACUCGACUUGACGUUUCUCGCGCCGCAAUGCUAAGCCUGAUAGAUUCGGGAUACAGAACCGCAAAGGUGAGAUACGAGGUAUGCCCCUUCAUUUCAGGGGAGGGCUUGGUAAGCACGGUACUAGGGAGAGUGUUAGGUGGCUCGGUCCAAAGCAGAUUUGUCUUUGGAGGCGAAUUUGCUGGAGCCACAUUGUCCGAACCAGAGACUGACGGCUGCUCCAACUUUCUCUUAGACCCCGUCUCCCCCAUCACGGGAAUAGCGUCAUCCGCUUCGAUGCCCUUGACCUUCCGAUUGUUCUCUUUGGCAGUUUUAAUUUGUAACAGGCGCCUCUCUUCUUUUCUUUGCUCGUGUUCUCGAAGAUAAGAGACAACAGAAGAGAUUGAAGAUAAAUAGGCGGUGUUGGGGGGAGGAGCAACGAGCUCAUGGGUUCGAAUAAGGACUUCUUGUGUUGAAAUAUCUGAAGUUUUCAUGAGAACAAGGUGUCAAGUGCCGGCGUUGGACGUACCUGAAAAUCCUUCAGAGCGCAAACAAGUAACAGUUUUGAGCACUUGCUCAAGGCAAGGGCUAAAACAGCAAAUCCUAGUGAUAAUAUCAGGCUGCAUGUUUUCAGCGAUGGCCCGACCUAUAGCGCCAGUGUGCAGAUACUCACUCGAAGGGCCUUGACCGCAUGCGGAAUGGCCUCCCAGGGUGCUGGGAGGUCAAGAAAAACUUUCACCUCGACGUGAGCCAUUGCACAACUGAAUAUAUUAAGACUUACCUCCUUCCACCCCCUGUGCGUCCCCGAAACCCUCUUUGCAGACAUUUCGAUGCUGUAAGCGAACGUUGGUCAGACCGUGCGAUUCGAACUCUUUCCUGUACAAUUUCAGUGGAGUUCGCACACAAGGCAGACUUACAAGGCAGUCUCAAAGCGUUGUCGAUGGUAUUCGAAAGACAUCACUUGACCACUUGGACCCACACUUCUGGAGAGACUAUGUGUCAUGCUCCCGCUUCCGGUUCCGGCCUCGAUGACUUUGCCCCCCACACGUACACCAAGGCGCAUGGUAAUGUACGAUAUAUCCGGAAGAUAGAGGAUUUGUGUGCGGUGGGGAAGUGAAAGGGUCCACAACUCCGGCGUGGGGCGAAGUACGUGAACGUAACCUGGGUGAGGCGGCGGGGAGUGAAUCUGCUCAGGUUAUCAGCUAAGCCGUCACAUAUAGGGACUCACCUUUGAGCCAUACUUUUGUCCUAUCAGCAUGUCAUGCGGGUAUCUUCCAUAUUUAUUGUGAAAUGUUUCUCCUGGAGUGAUAGUGAUGGCGGUCAUGUUGUCACGAGCCUGAAGAUAAGCCUAGUUCGAAGAGAUGGAAACGUACCAUGUAAAGGAUGACAAUGUCACCAGUCUCUAUGUGAGCUCUGGAGUGAAAUAUUGGCUUCCGAACAUCCAUAGCGUACAAUGU